GUACACGCUGUGACUAGCAUAUCAAUAAGCGGAGGAAAAGAAACUAACAAGGAUUCCCCUAGUAACGGCGAGUGAAGCGGGAAGAGCUCAAAUUUGAAAUCUUAAAGGGUUUCCCUUUACGAAUUGUAGUUUAAAGAAGUGUUUUCUGUUGAGGUUUUGGUAAAAGUUCUUUGGAAUAGGACAUCAUAGAGGGUGAGAAUCCCGUAUUUGACCUUUACUUUCAACUUUGUGAUACACUUUCAAAGAGUCGGAUUGUUUGGGAAUGCAGUCCAAAAUGGGUGGUAAAUUUCAUCUAAAGCUAAAUAUUGGCGAGAGACCGAUAGCGAACAAGUACCGUGAGGGAAAGAUGAAAAGAACUUUGAAAAGAGAGUUAAACAGUACGUGAAAUUGUCAAAAGGGAAGCGUUUGACACCAGUGUUGUUUUUCUGAAAAUCAAUUAAAGAACUGUUUAUGCUAAGUUGUUUAGACUUUAUCAGCUAACUGUUUAGUCUUGAGCUUUUCUUUAAUGCACUUUUCAGUUAACAAGUCAACAUCAAUUUCUUUUGCUGUAAAAAAGCUUGAGGAAGGUGGCUUGAGAUUCGUCUUAAGUGUUUAUAGCCUCUUGCCUAUGCAGUCGGAGAGAUUGAGGUCUGCAGCGUAGAUCCUUCGGGGCUAAAUGCAUUUGUGCUAAGUUAUAGCAUUUUAUAGACAACUUGUUGACUAUGAUUUGUCUUGUAGCUUACUCGCUUAUGUUAUUUUACCUACGCUUAGGAUGUUGAAGAUGUAGCACAUCAU
rnacentral:rRNA from 1 species